rnacentral:rRNA from 1 species
AUUGAACGCUGGCGGCAGGCUUAACACAUGCAAGUCGAGCGGGGGAAGGUAGCUUGCUACCGGACCUAGCGGCGGACGGGUGAGUAAUGCUUAGGAAUCUGCCUAUUAGUGGGGGACAACAUCUCGAAAGGGAUGCUAAUACCGCAUACGUCCUACGGGAGAAAGCAGGGGAUCUUCGGACCUUACGCUAAUAGAUGAGCCUAAGUCGGAUUAGCUAGUUGGUGGGGUAAAGGCCUACCAAGGCGACGAUCUGUAGCGGGUCUGAGAGGAUGAUCCGCCACACUGGGGCUCCUCCCCCUCCCAGACUCCUACGGGAGGCAGCCUUCAAUCCUCUUGGACAAUGGGGGGAACCCUUAUCCCUCCCUGCCGCGUGUGUGAAGAAGGCCUUAUUCUUAUCUAGCCCUUUAAUCUCUUCUUCUUCUACUCUAGUUAAUUCCUCGUCUUCUUUGCCUUUCCUCUCCUCCUCCUCACCGGCUAACUCUGUGCCAGCAGCCGCCGUAC